UACGUAGGGGGCAAGCGUUAUCCGGAAUUACUGGGCGUAAAGGGUGCGUAGGUGGCCUGACAAGUCAGGGGUCAAAGGCAACGGCUCAACCGUUGUAAGCCCUUGAAACUGUCGGGCUUGAGUUCAGGAGAGGAAAGCGGAAUUCCUAGUGUAGCGGUGAAAUGCGUAGAUAUUAGGAGGAACACCAGUGGCGAAGGCGGCUUUCUGGACUGAUACUGACACUGAGGCACGAAAGCGUGGGGAGCAAACAGGAUUAGAUACCCUGGUAGUCCACGCCGUAAACGAUGAGUACUAGGUGUCGGCCCUAAGGGUCGGUGCCGCAGUUAACACAUUAAGUACUCCGCCUGGGAAGUACGCUCGCAAGAGUGAA
rnacentral:rRNA from 1 species